CACACGACUCUCGGCAAUGAAUAUCUCGGCUCUCGCAUCGAUGAAGAAUGUAGCGAAAUGCGAUACCUGGUGUGAAUUGCAGAAUCCCGUGAACCAUCGAGUUUUUGAACGCAAGUUGCGCUCGAGGCAUUUUGGCUGAGGGCAUGCCUGCCUGGGCGUCACGC
rnacentral:rRNA from 1 species